rnacentral:rRNA from 1 species
UGGGGAAUAUUGGACAAUGGGCGCAAGCCUGAUCCAGCCAUGCCGCGUGAGUGAAGAAGGCCUUAGGGUUGUAAAACUCUUUCGCCGGGGAAGAUAAUGACGGUACCCGGAGAAGAAGCUCCGGCUAACUUCGUGCCAGCAGCCGCGGUAAUACGAAGGGAGCUAGCGUUGUUCGGAAUUACUGGGCGUAAAGCGCACGUAGGCGGACUUGUCAGUCAGGGGUGAAAUCCCAAGGCUCAACCUUGGAACUGCCUCCGAUACAGCAAGCCUAGAGAUCGGGAGAGGUGAGUGGAAUUCCUAGUGUAGAGGUGAAAUUCGUAGAUAUUAGGAAGAACACCAGUGGCGAAGGCGGCUCACUGGCCCGAUACUGACGCUGAGGUGCGAAAGCGUGGGGAGCAAACAGGAUUAGAUACCCGUGUAGUCCCUGAGCGGGCUGGCAAGGCGCAU